GCAAAAAAGUGCACACAUUUUUUUCCCACACCAUUAUUUUAUUUCCCCCUCUCUCUCCUUAUCUAGGUUUUUUCCCUCUUUCUCAUCCCCGACUCUGCUCCCCGCUCCCCGCUCCCUGCAGAUUCCUUUCUUGCUCCUCUUCAGCUCCCUGCCGACUCCUCUUCCGCUCCUCGCCGAGUCCUUUCCUAUGACUCCUCGUUCUACGGCUCUUCUCCUCGCCGACUCUUCUCCCCGCCGACUGCUCCUUCUACGGCUCUUCUCCCCGCCGACUCUUCUCUCUAUCGACCCUUCUCCUCUGAAUCUUCUCCCCGUCGACUCCUCUCCCACGAUUGCUCCACUGAUCGUGUUCUCGUGAUUGCUCCUGAACCAUUUACUGCCGCAACUACUGUACGCCGUCGCUACAACCAUCCUCAUCAUCUUCUGCAAUAACAUGAACCUGUAAUGCAACUGGACACUGAGGCAAUAGAUGGAUCCUACAUUGAGUUCAAAGACAUUGACUUAGUUUGGCAUCAUCAAUAGGCUGAUCCAGAUUUAAGCUCUUGUUAGGCUAAAGAACUCCUGGAUCACCUAGAAAAUGUGCUUGCUAAUGAGCCUAUGGUUGUGAAAAGAGGCCAACAUAUAGUUGAAGUGAAUUCCCGGGGGAUGAACAAAGGUGUAGUUGUCGGAAAUCUUUUGUAGACCAUGUCAAGCAUUGGAAAGCGUCUAGAUUUUGUAUUGUGCAUCGGUGAUGAUCAGUCUGAUGAAGAUAUGUUCGAGAUCAUUGUUAGUUCUGUGAUUGAUACAUAUUCUACUAAUUUAAGUGGAUUGAAAGUUUAAUCAUUGUUAUAUAUGUACUAGUUAGUUUGUUAGAGAUUUUGUAUCUUGUUUUGGAUUUCAGACCUUCUGAUUUGGUAUAAUAAUAAGCAAUGAUUUUUAUUAA